rnacentral:rRNA from 1 species
CCUACGGGAGGCAGCAGUGGGGAAUUUUGGACAAUGGGCGCAAGCCUGAUCCAGCAAUGCCGCGUGCAGGAUGAAGGCCUUCGGGUUGUAAACUGCUUUUGUACGGAGCGAAACGGUCUGCUUUAAUACAGUGGGCUAAUGACGGUACCGUAAGAAUAAGCACCGGCUAACUACGUGCCAGCAGCCGCGGUAAUACGUAGGGUGCGAGCGUUAAUCGGAAUUACUGGGCGUAAAGCGUGCGCAGGCGGUUAUAUAAGACAGAUGUGAAAUCCCCGGGCUCAACCUGGGACCUGCAUUUGUGACUGUAUAGCUAGAGUAUGGUAGAGGGGGAUGGAAUUCCGCGUGUAGCAGUGAAAUGCGUAGAUAUGCGGAGGAACACCGAUGGCGAAGGCAAUCCCCUGGACCUGUACUGACGCUCAUGCACGAAAGCGUGGGGAGCAAACAGGAUUAGAUACCCUGGUAGUCCACGCCCUAAACGAUGUCAACUGGUUGUUGGGUCUUCACUGACUCAGUAACGAAGCUAACGCGUGAAGUUGACCGCCUGGGGAGUACGGCCGCAAGGUUGAAACUCAAAUGAAUUGACGG